CCCUUAGAUGUCCUGGGCCACACGCGUGCUACACUGACGCCUACAGCGAGUACUUCCCAGCCCCGAAAGGCGGCUGGUAAUCAGCAAUAGGCGUCGUGAUGGGGAUAGAUCUUUGGAAUUAUGGAUCUUGAACGAGGAAUGCCUAGUAAGCGCAGGUCAUUAGCCUGCGCUGAUUAUGUCCCUGCCCUUUGUACACACCGCCCGUCGCUCCUACCGAUUGAGUGGUCCGGUGAAUCUUUCGGACUGCGCGGAGUUUCGUGCUCUGUCGCGGAAAGUCAGGUAAACCUUAUCACUUAGAGGAAGGAGAAGUCGUAACA
rnacentral:rRNA from 1 species